GAGAACGGCCAUAUCUGAUGGAAAGCGCCCUAACCCGUCCGAUCUAGGAAGCUAAGUCAUCACGAGUCGAGUUAGUACCAGUGUGGGUGACUCGCUGAGAAGUCUCGAUGCUGUUCUUU
rfam:Blastocystis hominis, Singapore isolate B (sub-type 7) whole genome shotgun sequence assembly, scaffold_9